UACGGAGGGGGCUAGCGUUAUUCGGAAUUACUGGGCGUAAAGCGCACGUAGGCGGCUUUGUAAGUCAGAGGUGAAAGCCUGGAGCUCAACUCCAGAACUGCCUUUGAGACUGCAUCGCUUGAAUCCAGGAGAGGUGAGUGGAAUUCCGAGUGUAGAGGUGAAAUUCGUAGAUAUUCGGAAGAACACCAGUGGCGAAGGCGGCUCACUGGACUGGUAUUGACGCUGAGGUGCGAAAGCGUGGGGAGCAAACAGG
rnacentral:rRNA from 1 species